UGCGCUACUACUAGUUGAUAGUUGUAGCGCAGGUGGGGCACCUCGCUGCUGCUAUGCCACCAACCUCCCACUCCACUCACGCCACCCACCCCGAGCCAGAUCUAGAUCGAGACCCCCUCCACCGGCGGCCCCCCGUCCCGUCCCCCACCGGCGGCCUCCUGUCUCCCCUUCCUCAACCUCCUCUCCUCUCUCCUCAACCUCCUCUCCUCUCCUGGGCUCCGCCCACACGGGAAACUGCUGCUCGGCGUCUCCAGCAAUCAAGCAGCAGCCAAGGCCGGGCUCCCAGCCUCCGCGCGGCGUCGUCUCUCCCUUCCCCGCCGUCAUAUGUCACCGUCGUCGUCGCGAUCCGGCCCUCCGCGCCACAGCGGUAGAAGAUAGCGACAGAGUGGGAAGGUUUGUGCAAAGAUCUUCUCCGUCGCCGUCCGCGACAAAGCUGCUGGGUGCAUCCGUCCAUCAUCUUCAGAUCUGAGUGAAGAGGGCAUCCGUCCAUCUCAAAAGGUUUAAUUUUUAUACCAGCUAAUUAACUUGUCUUUUCAUCAGUUUCUCCUUGAGUAAUUGGAAAGGGGAUUAUAUUAGACUGCUAGCUGAUUCUUGGUGAAAAUUGCUUCGCCUGUAUGUAUGUAGAGAAUCUUGUAGCAAUGAUUCUUGGUGAAAACGCCAUGUCCUCGAUACCCCCUGGUUCAUGGUAAUUACUCCACAUUUUGGAAAUGAAACUGACAGAGUUUCGGUGCUAGAUAUUUCUUUGAGCAAAUAUUACAACUGGAACGCAGAAUUCUGAUUGCAGUCACAAGUCAUGUGGAGUUUGAACUGUUAGUGAACAUAGGUCCUACCGUUCUAGUUGUAGGUUAAGUGCGAGCAAUUUCCAGGAGUAUGAGACCUCAGCUUUAAUAGGUUAUCUUUGGUUGCACUGUAGCUAAAUUCCUCAUUCAGUUUGUUUUCUGAGGCCAAUGUCGUCCAGAAAAUUCAGAAUCUGCAUACUGUUUCUAUUAAUUAUAGCCAAUUGGGUAGCAGAUUUAACUGGGUACUCCAUGUGGUUCUUUGCCCCCAUCUAUACUUUAUUGAUCUAUAUGCAUUGAGUAAAAGUUCUUCAUUUCUGACUGAUGGUUAAUUGAUAUUAAGUGAAAUAUGGUGUUACCCAAGUAUUUAUGUAAUCAAAAAACAUGAUUGUGUUCUCAUGUGUUAUCCCAACACAUUAGUUAGGUGACUGUCUGAGAAUACUUGAUGCCCAAAAUAUAUAUGGAUCAUGCUAUGCUAUAUAUGUGUAUUGUCUAUUGUGUCCAUGUGCCAGUUAAUUCAUCUCAUUUCUUUGAAGCCGCUACCUAAGUACCGAGCGAUUUCCUUUGUUCCAGCUUUUGUUCUUAGCAGACAAAUCUGGGAGAAUGUACUAGCUGCAUAUAUUGGUUCUUGGGUUUAUUAUUAGAGCUUUUUAUCUGCAUAUAUACAUAGGAGUGAGAAUGCCCAGGUAUGCGACCCUAAAUUUAGUUUCACUGCUUUCUUACUCAUGGGAUUUAUCGAAUUAAUAACUAUAAUGGAUUAAUGAGAAAAAGACAAGGGAAAUUAGCUUUAUAAAAGUGAAACUAUUCAUGGUAAACAUUUGGCAGAAGAGAAUCACAAAAUGAACAACAGCCUCCCUCACGGGAAACAUCAGGUGUGGUAAAAUGUUCACUUAAAAAACUAGAGAUUACUUCCUGGUUUCCUUAUGCCUCGUUGCUACUGGUGCUGUCUGUUUAGGUAACCCUCUGCCUCAUGGUGUUCAGCUGGUUGCCACCAAUCUGCUAAGUAUACAUAAAGUGAAUUUGAGUUAUAUAAAUAUGCCAACUGUCUACAAGACACCACUAACAUAGAACAAAAUGAUGUAGUCUAGAGUUCAGCAUGACUUUGUUUUUUCUGCUCUUUUUGGUAAGCAUACCAAAGCAAAACCAACCUCAAGCCUUUGAAAGUUUGAACCAUUGAUCUGCUCUGUACUUCCUAUCCAUUUUCACAUCAAUUAGGUGCGUCGACAUCGACACGGGCUGGGGCGGCGGCGGCGAUGACAUCGACAUCGACACGGGGCUGCUGCUGCGACGACGGCGGCAUUGUCCGGCGCCGACCACGACGACGACGACAUCGUCACGGUGCUGCGGCAGCGACGCCGACGACAUCAACACGAGCUUGUGGAGGCGCCGACGCUGACGACCUAUACGUGUGGCGUAUAUUGUAUAUAUAUGUGUAUUAAUUAUCUAUAUCAAAUAUGUAUGAUUGACGGUAUGCAGAACAUGUACUAUUAUGAAAGGCGACUGUUAGGCGCCGGCGCACCGGCCGAAAAUUUCGGCCGGUCAGCCCCCAGCACACCUCGAACCGUUAAUUUCCCCUAA